UUAAAUGGCCGCAGUAUAUUAACUGUGCAAAGGUAGCAUAAUCAUUAGUCUUUUAAUUGAAGGCUAGUAUGAAUGGUUGGACAAAUAUUAACUGUUUCAUAAAUAUUUAAAAUAAAAUUUUAUUUUUUAGUUAAAAAGCUAAAAUAUAUUUAAAAGACGAGAAGACCCUAUAAAUCUUUAUAAUUUAGUUAUUAAAAAUCUUUAGAAUUAUUUUAUUAUAAUAUUGAAUAUUAUUUUAUUGGGGUGAUAUUAAAAUUUAAUUAACUUUUAAUUUAUUGAUUCAUUAAUUUAUGAUUUGUUGAUCCAUUAUUAAUGAUUAAGAAAAUAAGUUACUUUAGGGAUAACAGCGUAAUUUUUUUGGAGAGUUCAUAUCAAUAAAAAAGAUUGCGACCUCGAUGUUGGAUUAAGAUAUAAUUUUAGGUGUAGUGGCUUAAAUUUUAAGUCUGUUCGACUUUUAAAAUCUUACAUGAUCUGAGUUCAAACCGGUGUAAGCCAGGUUGGUUUCUAUCUUUAAAAA
rnacentral:rRNA from 1 species